CAGAGGAAAACUCUGAAUUGAAUUUUUGAUUCUACCAGGAUUUUUCCAACCUAAUUCCAUACGACGCUUGUACAAUAUUGAGCAUUGCGUUUGCAAUGCCAAUGGAACUGAAAUCUGAUCAGGAAAACAUAAUUUGAAACUCCAUUGCUUGAACUGGGAUAAUUGUAUGGGAUUUACCUUCAGCAAGUUGUCAGCUAAGGUGUCCGCUAUUUGUCAGUAAAGGUUGUCGGGCUGUGCCUGGACAACUAGACUGAAUAUAUAUAAACUAUAUUAAAACGUAUAGAAAUAUUUGACAAUGUUUACUGUACAGAAUUAUACAAUGUAAUUUAAAUGAAUUGAUGUCAAUUAUUGGAGAAAUAUAUAUAAGUGUAUAGAAUUAAUGUACCUUAUUUAGCGUAAAGUAAAGUUUUAAACAAAAUCAAUUUACAUGUGUGCCAUGUUGCAAUUCAGGGGCCG
rnacentral:lncRNA from 1 species